AUUGAACGCUGGCGGCAGGCCUAACACAUGCAAGUCGAACGAGUGGCGGACGGGUGAGUAAUGUCUGGGAAACUGCCCGAUGGAGGGGGAUAACUACUGGAAACGGUAGCUAAUACCGCAUACCCUCGGAUGUGCCCCGAUGGGAUUAGCUAGUAGGUGGGGUAACGGCUCACCUAGGCGACGAUCCCUAGCUGGUCUGAGAGGAUGACCAGGCACACUGGAACUGAGACACGGUCACGACUCCUACGGGAGGCAGCAGUGGGGAAUAUUGCACAAGGGGCGCAAGCCUGAUGCAGCCAUGCCGCGUGUAUGAAGAAGGCCUUCGGGUGGUAAGGUACUUUCAGCGAGGAGGCGUUACUCGCAGAAGAAGCACAGGCUAACGCCGGGCCAGCAGCCGCGGUAAUUC
rnacentral:rRNA from 1 species